AGCUAAUGCACGCGCAUGUCUACGUCUAUGAACGUAGAACUUAUAGACGCAUUUAACUAUAAAUAUUAGACGUAUAUGUUUUAACUACCAGUAUUAGACCUUACUGUUUUAACUUACUUCUAACUCGGGUUUAUGGUAACCAUUUCCAGCGACGUAGCCACAUUUAGGCCAAAAGUUCUUUGCAUCCUUUCGGGUUCUGACUGCAUGAAUCAAACCAACAGGGGGAGACAUUUACUAAAGAAAGCACGUUAAGCCAUUCACCCCAUUUCAGUAUUACUUCCAUAUAACUGACUUGAGCCAAAGGCACUCACAUGUGGACGGUGAGUAGUUCACUCUGUUACAAUAUUAAAAAGCUCUAUUUA